ACCGAUAGUGAACCAGUACCGUGAGGGAAAGGCGAAAUGAACCCCGGCGAGGGGAGUGAUAAAGAACCUGAAUCCGUGUACGUACAAGCAGUGGGAGCACCCUUCGGUGUGUGACUGCGUACCUUUUGUAUAAUGGGUCAGCGACUUAUAUUCUGUAGCAAGGUUAACCGAAUAGGGGAGCCGGAGGGAAACCGAGUCUUAAUUGGGCGUUAAGUUGCAGGGUAUAGACCCGAAACCCGGUGAUCUAGCCAUGGGCAGGUUGAAGGUUGGGUAACACUAACUGGAGGACCGAACCGACUAAUGUUGAAAAAUUAGCGGAU
rnacentral:rRNA from 1 species